AUCGGGGUUGCGGACAGUGUCUGGUGGGUAGUUUGACUGGGGCGGUCUCCUCCCAAAGAGUAACGGAGGAGCACGAAGGUUAGCUAAUCCUGGUCGGACAUCAGGAGGUUAGUGCAAUGGCAUAAGCUAGCUUGACUGCGAGCGUGACGGCGCGAGCAGGUGCGAAAGCAGGUCAUAGUGAUCCGGUGGUUCUGAAUGGAAGGGCCAUCGCUCAACGGAUAAAAGGUACUCCGGGGAUAACAGGCUGAUACCGCCCAAGAGUUCAUAUCGACGGCGGUGUUUGGCACCUCGAUGUCGGCUCAUCACAUCCUGGGGCUGAAGUAGGUCCCAAGGGUAUGGCUGUUCGCCAUUUAAAGUGGUACGCGAGCUGGGUUUAGAACGUCGUGAGACAGUUCGGUCCCUAUCUGCCGUGGGCGCUGGAGAAUUGAGGGGGGCUGCUCCUAGUACGAGAGGACCGGAGUGGACGCAUCACUGGUGUUCGGGUUGUCAUGCCAAUGGCACUGCCCGGUAGCUAAAUGCGGAAGAGAUAAGUGCUGAAAGCAUCUAAGCACGAAACUUGCCCCGAGAUGAGUUCUCCCUGAGACUUUAAGUCUCCUGAAGGAACGUUGAAGACGACGACGUUGAUAGGCCGGGUGUGUAAGCGCAGCGAUGCGUUGAGCUAACCGGUACUAAUGAACCGUGAGGCUUAACCUUACAACGCCGAAGCUGUU
rnacentral:rRNA from 1 species